GAUGAAGAACGCAGCGAAAUGCGAUACGUAAUGUGAAUUGCAGAAUUCAGUGAAUCAUCGAGUCUUUGAACGCACAUUGCGCCCCCUGGUAUUCCGGGGGGCAUGCCUGUCCGAGCGUCAUUGCUGCCCUCAAGCACGGCUUGUGUGUUGGGCCUCCGUCCUCCUCCCGGGGGACGGGCCCGAAAGGCAGCGGCGGCACCGCGUCCGGUCCUCGAGCGUAUGGGGCUUCGUCACCCGCUCUUGUAGGCCCGGCCGGCGCUUGCCGACACAUCAAUCUUUUUUCCAGGUUGACCUCGGAUCAGGUAGGGAUACCCGCUGAACUUAAGCAUAUCAAAAGCGGAGG
rnacentral:misc_RNA from 1 species